CACCCUUGUGUCAGUUAAUAGCAAGAAGUAAAAUUCCGGAGCUCAGCAGAUCCUUCAAAAAUAUCUUCUCUCCACAAAGAACAUAACAGCACAUGCAUUUGGAAGAACAUGACGAUCCAUUGGCUGGGAUCUCUAUGGUGGAAUUCUGCUGGGACCCCCUUCUAACCUCCCCACAACCCUCCCCUUGAGUUCACCCACCCACCCAUUAGGAAUUCCAGCAGGGCAUUGUGGGUGGGAUGAAUGGGGUCAGAGCCAAGGA